AUUUGUGUUGUACGUACCGGAAAAAGCUAUUCGGUCAUUUGCUAUUGGAAUCAUAUCAGAAAAGUUGUCAUUUAAGUUUAUCGUUGAAAUCCGUAUAUAAAAGUCGGAAAAAGUUUAAUAAUUAAAGAGUGAUUCAGGUGUGUGUGCUUCUGAGUUGGUACCUGUUAGCUGAUGUUGGCAAGGAGGCUAGCAUCUGCUAAUAUUUGGAUUUAAGUUUGCUCAAAUAUACAGCGUCGGAUUACAAGCUGUUGGGCUGUAAAAUGUAAGAUUAAAUUGAGUCAAAGUAGAUGAGAGAAAAGAUGUUAAUUUUAGGUUAUGUUUAGUUCUAGCUACGACACACACACCCCGAUAUUCACUCCGUAGUUUAAGAUCUAAUCAAAGGGAAUACUAAACAAAUUUGAAGUGUAUCUAAGAACCGAAUAAAUCGAAUUCUGUUUGAACGCUAUCAGACUUAUCAAUUCCCUCGACCGAGCAGUUACGUUUGUAACAAAUGGGGACAUUGAAGAAGUCAAUCAGAUCACUGACGAUGCCAUCGAUUGGCUGAAUUGUGAAAGAGUGCUUGUGUAAAAUUGAUUUUGUACGCUUGAUGAGAUAUUUUGUAAAUUUGUGAAAACCCCUAUACGAGUAAAUAAAUA